AUCACUUCUUGGCCUUUUGGCUAAGAUCAAGUGUAGAAUAUAUUUAUGUUCAAUUCAAGAAAUUAUUAGACAAAAACGAUGGUAAGAAUCUUA
ensembl:snRNA U2 U2 spliceosomal RNA